UUAAGCGACUAAGCGUACACGGUGGAUGCCCUGGCAGUCAGAGGCGAUGAAGGGCGUACUAAUCUGCGAUAAGCGCCGGUAAGGUGAUAUGAACCGUUAUAACCGGCGAUACCCGAAUGGGGAAACCCAGUGUGAUUCGUCACACUAUCAUUAACUGAAUCCAUAGGUUAAUGAGGCGAACCGGGGGAACUGAAACAUCUAAGUACCCCGAGGAAAAGAAAUCAACCGAGAUUCCCCCAGUAGCGGCGAGCGAACGGGGAGGAGCCCAGAGCCUGAAUCAGCAUGUGUGUUAGUGGAAGCGUCUGGAAAGGCGCGCGAUACAGGGUGACAGCCCCGUACACAAAAGCGCAUGUGCUGUGAGCUCGAUGAGUAGGGCGGGACACGUGGUAUCCUGUCUGAAUAUGGGGGGACCAUCCUCCAAGGCUAAAUACUCCUGACUGACCGAUAGUGAACCAGUACCGUGAGGGAAAGGCGAAAAGAACCCCGGCGAGGGGAGUGAAAAAGAACCUGAAACCGUGUACGUACAAGCAGUGGGAGCACAGGUUUACCUGUGUGACUGCGUACCUUUUGUAUAAUGGGUCAGCGACUUAUAUUCUGUAGCAAGGUUAACCGAAUAGGGGAGCCGGAGGGAAACCGAGUCUUAAUUGGGCGUUAAGUUGCAGGGUAUAGACCCGAAACCCGGUGAUCUAGCCAUGGGCAGGUUGAAGGUUGGGUAACACUAACUGGAGGACCGAACCGACUAAUGUUGAAAAAUUAGCGGAUGACCUGUGGCUGGGGGUGAAAGGCCAAUCAAACCGGGAGAUAGCUGGUUCUCCCCGAAAGCUAUUUAGGUAGCGCCUCGUGAAUUCAUCUCCGGGGGUAGAGCACUGUUUCGGCUAGGGGGCCAUCCCGGCUUACCAACCCGAUGCAAACUGCGAAUACCGGAGAAUGUUAUCACGGGAGACACACGGCGGGUGCUAACGUCCGUCGUGAAGAGGGAAACAACCCAGACCGCCAGCUAAGGUCCCAAAGUCAUGGUUAAGUGGGAAACGAUGUGGGAAGGCCCAGACAGCCAGGAUGUUGGCUUAGAAGCAGCCAUCAUUUAAAGAAAGCGUAAUAGCUCACUGGUCGAGUCGGCCUGCGCGGAAGAUGUAACGGGGCUAAACCAUGCACCGAAGCUGCGGCAGCGACGCUUAUGCGUUGUUGGGUAGGGGAGCGUUCUGUAAGCCUGCGAAGGUGGCCUGUGAGGGUUGCUGGAGGUAUCAGAAGUGCGAAUGCUGACAUAAGUAACGAUAAAGCGGGUGAAAAGCCCGCUCGCCGGAAGACCAAGGGUUCCUGUCCAACGUUAAUCGGGGCAGGGUGAGUCGACCCCUAAGGCGAGGCCGAAAGGCGUAGUCGAUGGGAAACGGGUUAAUAUUCCCGUACUUGGUGUUACUGCGAAGGGGGGACGGAGAAGGCUAUGUUGGCCGGGCGACGGUUGUCCCGGUUUAAGCGUGUAGGUGUGUGUUCCAGGUAAAUCCGGUUCACUUUAACACUGAGGCGUGACGACGAGGCACUACGGUGCUGAAGCAACAAAUGCCCUGCUUCCAGGAAAAGCCUCUAAGCAUCAGGUAACAUCAAAUCGUACCCCAAACCGACACAGGUGGUCAGGUAGAGAAUACCAAGGCGCUUGAGAGAACUCGGGUGAAGGAACUAGGCAAAAUGGUGCCGUAACUUCGGGAGAAGGCACGCUGACACGUAGGUGAAGUGAUUUACUCAUGGAGCUGAAGUCAGUCGAAGAUACCAGCUGGCUGCAACUGUUUAUUAAAAACACAGCACUGUGCAAACACGAAAGUGGACGUAUACGGUGUGACGCCUGCCCGGUGCCGGAAGGUUAAUUGAUGGGGUCAGCGCAAGCGAAGCUCCUGAUCGAAGCCCCGGUAAACGGCGGCCGUAACUAUAACGGUCCUAAGGUAGCGAAAUUCCUUGUCGGGUAAGUUCCGACCUGCACGAAUGGCGUAAUGAUGGCCAGGCUGUCUCCACCCGAGACUCAGUGAAAUUGAACUCGCUGUGAAGAUGCAGUGUACCCGCGGCAAGACGGAAAGACCCCGUGAACCUUUACUAUAGCUUGACACUGAACAUUGAGCCUUGAUGUGUAGGAUAGGUGGGAGGCUUUGAAGUGUGGACGCCAGUCUGCAUGGAGCCGACCUUGAAAUACCACCCUUUAAUGUUUGAUGUUCUAACGUGGACCCGUUACCCGGGUUGCGGACAGUGUCUGGUGGGUAGUUUGACUGGGGCGGUCUCCUCCUAAAGAGUAACGGAGGAGCACGAAGGUUGGCUAAUCCUGGUCGGACAUCAGGAGGUUAGUGCAAUGGCAUAAGCCAGCUUGACUGCGAGCGUGACGGCGCGAGCAGGUGCGAAAGCAGGUCAUAGUGAUCCGGUGGUUCUGAAUGGAAGGGCCAUCGCUCAACGGAUAAAAGGUACUCCGGGGAUAACAGGCUGAUACCGCCCAAGAGUUCAUAUCGACGGCGGUGUUUGGCACCUCGAUGUCGGCUCAUCACAUCCUGGGGCUGAAGUAGGUCCCAAGGGUAUGGCUGUUCGCCAUUUAAAGUGGUACGCGAGCUGGGUUUAGAACGUCGUGAGACAGUUCGGUCCCUAUCUGCCGUGGGCGCUGGAGAACUGAGGGGGGCUGCUCCUAGUACGAGAGGACCGGAGUGGACGCAUCACUGGUGUUCGGGUUGUCAUGCCAAUGGCACUGCCCGGUAGCUAAAUGCGGAAGAGAUAAGUGCUGAAAGCAUCUAAGCACGAAACUUGCCCCGAGAUGAGUUCUCCCUGAGACUUAGAGUCUCCUGAAGGAACGUUGAAGACGACGACGUUGAUAGGCCGGGUGUGUAAGCGCAGCGAUGCGUUGAGCUAACCGGUACUAAUGAACCGUGAGGCUUAACCUU
rnacentral:rRNA from 1 species